rnacentral:rRNA from 1 species
AUACGUAGGGGGCAAGCGUUAUCCGGAAUUAUUGGGCGUAAAGCGCGCGCAGGCGGCCGGUUAAGUCAGAUGUGAAAGGCUGCGGCUCAACCGCAGAGCGGCAUCUGAAACUGGUCGGCUUGAGUGCAGGAGAGGGGAGCGGAAUUCCCGGUGUAGCGGUGGAAUGCGUAGAGAUCGGGAGGAACACCAGUGGCGAAGGCGGCUCUCUGGCCUGUAACUGACGCUGAGGCGCGAAAGCGUGGGGAGCAAACAGGAUUAGAUACCCUGGUAGUCCACGCCGUAAACGAUGAGUGCCAGGUGUUGGGGGCUACGCCCCUCAGUGCCGAAGGCAACCCAUUAAGCACUCCGCCUGGGGAGUACGGCCGCAAGGCUGAA